CUGAAAUAAAUUAUUAGAAAGGACAAUUUUUUUAUUGAAUUUUAUGAUCCGAAUUUUGGGAUUAUUUCAUGAGGAGAGUGACAUUUUUCACCAUCUUCCGGGGUCCAUCAAUUUGCGAAAAAAGUAAUCUCACUUGCCACCCCGAAAAUUUAACCAGACAUGUAUAAAUGUAUCAGCUUCGAUAUGAGCCAUACAUGUUCAAGUAAACGAUAUGGACUGAGCAACGGAGGAAAACGUUACCAUUACGGCCUA
rnacentral:lncRNA from 1 species